GGUUGUGAGGGCUAUCUGGCUGCAACAUCUGUCACCCCAUUGAUCCUCAGGGUUGAUUCGGCUCAUCUGGCUGGCUAGGCGGGUGUCCCCUUCCUCUUUCAAAGCUCCAUGUGUAUCCCUCCCAAAGCUAUGUGCUUGACCAAAAAACGAUGGCCUUCCCUGAAGAGAGACGGGCUGGUCUUCAGUCGAGGGUAUACGAGUAGAUUCUCUCCCCAGCUGGAACCUCCAAACAAGUUCUCAAGUUCUAGGUAGAGUCCUGAAUCAGACAUAUGCUUUUUAAAUGUUUUCCCUAUCCUGUGAAAUUUAUUUAUUUAU
ensembl:misc_RNA 7SK 7SK RNA